rnacentral:rRNA from 1 species
GAUGAACGCUGGCGGCGUGCUUAACACAUUCAAGUCGAACGAAGCACUGAAGAUGAGACCUUCGGGUGGAUUCUUCUUUGACUGAGUGGCGGACGGGUGAGUAACGCGUGAGCAAUCUGCCUUGGUUUUUGGGAUAACGUUUGGAAACGAACGCUAAUACCGAAUAACGUAUCGGAAUCGCAUGUUUCUGAUACCAAAGCUCCGGCGAACCAAGAUGAGCUCGCGUCCGAUUAGAUAGUUGGUGGGGUAACGGCCUACCAAGUCUGCGAUCGGUAGCCGGACUGAGAGGUUGAACGGCCACAUUGGAACUGAGAUACGGUCCAGACUCCUACGGGAGGCAGCAGUGGGGAAUAUUGGGCAAUGGGCGAAAGCCUGACCCAGCGACGCCGCGUGAGGGAAGAAGGUCUUCGGAUUGUAAACCUUAGUCAACAGGGAAGAAGAAAGUGACGGUACCUGUGGAGGAAGCCACGGCUAACUACGUG